ensembl:snRNA U6 U6 spliceosomal RNA
GUGCUCAUUUUGGCAGCACAUAUACUAAAAUUGGAACAAUGCAGAAAAGAUUAGCACGGCUCUUAUGCAAACAUGACAUGCAAAUUUGUGAAGAUAGUGUCUUCUGU